AAAAAAAAAAGGAAAUGCCCGAUCUCAUCUGAUCUCGGAAGUAAAGCAGGGUCGGGCCUGGUUAGUACUUGGAUGGGUGACCGCCUGGGAAUACCAGGU
rnacentral:rRNA from 1 species